rnacentral:tRNA from 1 species
GCACCCGUAGCUCAGCUGGAUAGAGCAUCAGAUUGCGGAUCUGAAGGUCGGUGGUUCGAAUCCACUCGGGUGUACCA